rnacentral:lncRNA from 1 species
GAAAGUGGCAAUGUGUUUUGUGAUCUGACCUCAGAAAUGAAAUAUUGUCAUCUUCUAUUUGGUAGAGGAGAGCUGUUAUGUCUAGCUCACGCUCAAGGAAAUGACUUACUGCAAAGAACCACUCUUCCCCACGAGACUUCGAGAAGACCCGCUGUCACGGACUGAGUUGUGUCCUCCUAAAAUUCAGAUGUUGGAGUCCAAACCCCCAGUAACUCAGAGUGUGAACGUAUUUGAAGAGGUCUUUAAAGAGGUGAUGAAGGUAAAAUGAAGUCACUAGGGUGGGCCCUAAUCCAACCUUGACACGUGUCCUCAUAAGUAGAGGAGAUGAGGACACAGACACAUGGAGGAAAGACCAUGUGGGGACACAGGGAGAAGAUGGCUGAGGGGAGAGGCCAGAGGAGAAACCAGCCUUGUCCAUGUGUUGACCUGGGACUUCCAGCCUCCAGCAUGGUGAGACGAUGCAUCUCUGGUUAAGCCCCAUCUUUGCAGUACUU